UAAGUGGUGGAAAUUAAACCAAAUGGGAUAUCUUUAGUAAUUGCGAAUGAACAAGGAUAUGCUUAGCUUGACAAAUGGAGCUAUUGGCUUUGAAUUGUAUUGUGGAAAUGUAUUACCAACAGAGGUGCAGGUGCCAGCCUAUUGAAAUAAAGCGUCAAUGAGGGUGAGAAUCCUGUUUGUCAUGUGCAGCCCUUUGUGCACGGUGUAUAUUUGCUGAGUCACACUCCUUGGCAUUGGAAUGCAAAGUGGGUGGUAAGUUUCAUGUAAAGGUAAACAUGCAAUUGAGACUGAUAGCACACAAGUACCAUGAGGGAAAUAUGAAAAGGACUUUGAAAAGAGAAUUAAAUGAGUUUGUAUUUGCUGAACACAAAGUAAACAGACUUGAUUUGCUUGGUGGGAGUGUUGCACUUGCUUUAUAAGAGCUUUGGGCUGUGGGUGUAAUGAUUCUUUCUUUGCAUGCCAGUUUCUAUUUGUACAUCUGAUUACCUUUGCACAUGAAUGAUAAGUCUCCUGUGGGGGGUGGAUUGCAUGUGCAUGUAAUGAUUUGUGUUUUGAUAAAUGUGUCUGGUGUAUGUGUGUGUUCCUGUGCUUGGGGAUGCUUCCUUCCUUGGACUUACAAGCCCUGACACACACAUGCUGGCAAAAUGCUUCUGCUUGACCCG
rnacentral:rRNA from 1 species